ACGGAGGAUGCAAGCGUUAUCCGGAUUCAUUGGGUUUAAAGGGUGCGCAGGCGGAAUGGUAAGUCAGUGGUGAAAUCCUACAGCUCAACUGUAGAACUGCCAUUGAUACUGCUGUUCUUGAGUACACUUGGAGUGGGCGGAAUGUGUCAUGUAGCGGUGAAAUGCUUAGAUAUGACACAGAACACCGAUCGCGAAGGCAGCUCACUGGGUUGUAACUGACGCUCAGGCGCGAAAGCGUGGGGAUCAAACAG
rnacentral:rRNA from 1 species